GCGAUUCGGCGGGCGAUGCGCCUGCACCCUCUCCCUGCAGGCGGCGCGAUCUUCCAGGGAACUGAAAUCUCCCUUCCCAGUUCGCCCAGCCUCUCUCUCUUUUUCUUUUCUUCUCCCCCAGAUCCCUGCUGAGGGCCCGCUGUGGACCUGGGGAACUCCGGAUGGACGCCACGUUUUCCUUGCUCCAGAGCACCUCCGGCUUUCCUCGGAAGAUUCCUCAAGGAAGCUCCCUUGAGACCCUGUUGAUUGACUGAGCUGGUUUGGUCUGAGCUGGUUUGGUCAGGUGGCUCCAUAGUCUCAGAGUACAACAAAGGUUACAGUGAAGAGUACCACAGGAAAAGGAAGUGCAUGCAAAGGAAAAUUUGGGACAGUGGAAGAAAAUGGGGCGCGGUGGCUGCCAGAGAGGCUGGUGUGACAAAUGGAACAACUCCACCUCCCUGCUGGUUCCCUUACUGAUGAUGAUGAUGGUUCCUUACAUGGUGACGUGCACUGGGCCUACGUGCCUGACCCACCACUCAUCCAUCCAGCAGUGUGGUCCAGACCAGAGAUUCUCAUAACCAGUAAUAAUAUUCAACUUCUUAGAUCUCCUUAGACAAAGGAGUCAACUAAUAAUAAGAUCAUAACUUUCAAUGCAUUUGGUGAUGGGAUACCUGUUUGCUUUGUGAAGAAUAGUAUGAACGAUGGCUGUAUUUUUGUGUUUACACAAACUUGGAAGAAAAACAUUUCACAAACUGUAACUCAAACGUAUAGAGAUGGGCAUGCCUAAACAUUAUGAGGAAUCUCCCUUUUAUCCUCAUGAAAUAUGACCUUGUGAGUCUAAACCCACAGAGAAUGUGGAAUAAGCAUUUAACAAAGUUGUUAAGUGGAGAGGAUGUUAUAAUCAAUCUCCAAUGUUGUUUAAUAUUUCCAAUAAUAUGUGAAUUAUUGAUUGGGCAGGAAAGCAAACAUUGUACAAAAAGAAUAUUCAUAGGUCUUUGGCAAUCAGGUUCUGGACAUUUCCAAUGGCACAUCUGAAAGUUAGUUGCAGCUCUCUAUGAAGUUACAUUGGCAAUAAACAAAAUUGGGACAAGAUCUGAAUUCUAAUCAAAUGUAUAUGUGUUAAGGCUCCUAAUCUUUUAUUAAUUGGUGGUGUUAAACUUACUUUUGUUAAUUCUAUAGUACUUAAUGUAAGUUGUGUUGAUUGUGUACUUUCUAGUUGUGUUAGUGUAUUGAAGUCUGGCCUGUCUGUCAUGGUGGUCUAUCAACCAGCUUUUGUAUUAUUGCCUGUGAGUAUGACAGGACCUUGGCAUUCUGAAAAGAGCUUGCAGAUGUUGGAAGAAGUGACCCUGGCUUUACAUAGAAGCAGGAGGGUAGUGGGCUUGAUUAUUGCCAGGAUAGUGGCUUUGAUUAUAUUAAUAGCUAGCACUGCAAUUACUUUGACACAAGAAGUUAAGACAGCUACUUUUGUUAAUCAUUUAGCAAAAAAUGUUACUAGUGUUCUGAAUAUUCAAGAGGAUUUAGAUAGGCAUUUGGAACAACGAAUUAAUGCUCUUUAUGAUACUACUCAAAUUAUUGGAGAGGAGGUUCAGAGUUUAAGAGUAAGAAGCCAUCUCAAGUGUCACACUAAAUACCAAUGUAUUUGUGUCACUUCUAAAAUUUACAGUGACAAUCACUAUAAUUGAGAGAAAAUUCAAAGACAUUUGCAGGAUGUUUGGCAUAAUUCUAACACUUCUCUGGAUGUUUUAACUUUGUCUAAUGAGAUUAUGAAUUUAAAGGAUGCUGCUCUGCUCAGCUUUGGUGCUGUGGAUGCUGCUGAUAAAAUUACUUGUGGCUUAAGGUCAGUGUUUCCAUCUUGGUCAAAAAUGACUUAUAUAGCUUGAUCAUGUUGGCCCUUCUUGUCCUGGGAAUACUUUUAUUCCUGCCCAUUGUGAUAAAACUUGCCUUUAACCACAUCAACAUAUUGGUGGCCAAAAUACAUGGCUUCAAACUAAAAAUGGGUCCCCAAACAGAGUCAUUAAUUUAACAGGCUGUUAGCCAAUGAUGGGUAAGAUUCUGCACAGAGCCUUACCAACCUAAGGCAGAAAUGCAUUGCUUUUGAUAAUGCAUAUUCCACGACAGGUAAGGAAGACAUUCUUGUCAGAACAACCUAAGACAAGCACAAUCUUGUUUAUAGAAUAAAAAGAGGGAGAUGUAGAGAGCUUUGGGGACUGCUUCUAGGAAUUUGGCAGGAAUCUGAUGUUGAGCUAUGACAAGCAAGUAGGCUCAAGGUAGAUACAGCCAAGGAAUGUGUUAUAUUCCUUGUAUCUUGGUCAUCCUGAUAAACUCCUAAACACAGUGACCACAAGACUUUGUUUAUUGCUUUGUUUGUUUCUUGAUUACUUUGUUUAUGCCUUAGGACUGACCAUAUUCUUUGUAUGUAUCUAGAAUGAUGUAAAAGCAGAUUGGAAAAAAAUAAACCUGCGUCAGCUUUAGAACUGGCUGAAGUCAUAU